AUCACAGCUGGAUGCCCUGCACUCCAUCUGACUUACCCUCUCGCUCCGCUGGCUCUUCUCACCUCUCAUCCUUUCUCAUCACCAUUUCUCACCAACACUUCACCUCUUCCGUCUUCAUCACAAGCCAAAGCAGAUUGCAGCAGCACCACGGCCAACUUGACUGUGAAGUCUUCUUUCUGAAUGAGCCCUGGCACGCCGCCAGAAUGGGCAGAGCGCGUGUGAGGAGAUAAGAAAAGCCGCUGAGGAGCAAACGCACACAGCUCUUGCACAGCCCUGAGAAAAACACCAGCUGGCUGACGAAGAGUUACUCUAUGGUCACAUUUAAACGCCACAAAGCGGCCAACGCAGAGAGGUCAACACUGUAGUGAUAUGCUGCUUGCACUCGGAGGAUUUGCAUUUGGACCCGUGCAUUCAGCACGUGGCUUUGAAGCUCAUCUUCUGUCACUCUGACUCCGCAGAGGGCUCGGUCUGCCCGUCAGUCUGCCGCGAACAUGAAAGCCAUCCAUCAUCUAGGAGUCUGGAGGAGAAAGAAGUUCCUCCCUCUUCUCUUUGAACACAGACUGCAUAAUAAACAGGUCAGGCUGAAGUAAUGAGCCACAGAAACACAGUUUGUCUCUGAAUUUGUGGCAGUACACGCUGCCGCUUUGUUGUACAUUGCAGCCACAAACGGAAAAAUCAGGCUUCAAUUAUACAGUCAAACAUUUCCAUGUGCACUCUUUUGACAAUCACAAAGGGCUGCGGGCUCGCAGCUACUUGAUCAACAUGACAGGCUUCAUGGAUGUAAGUGGGUAGAGAGGGGAGUGAUGGGAGGAUGACAGGCACGGCUCUUCAGCCCCAGGGACACCCUGAGUAUACAGCGCACACACACACACACACACACAUACAAACACACAUCAGUGCAUCCAGAACCCCACCAGGUCUGUGUGGGUGCGUAACCGAUGCUUGUAGUGGCAGGUUGUUGUUUACAUGGAGCUCAUGUUUAUUCUAAAGCUACUUACACCUCACUGGCUCAGCCCCGGGCUCCGUUCCUGUGAACCUCCCGCUGACUGGCUUUCGGUUUUCUCGUUGCCUUUUUCUCUGUUGACCUUUCCCCCCCCCUCUCUCUCUCUCUCUCUCUCUCUCUCUCUCUCUAGCCUUCCUUUUCUGUCCCUCUUGUCCCCCUUGUUUUUUUCUCAUUUUCUGUGAUGUUCCAAGAAAACAUGUUUUUUAAAUAAAUGCAAAGAC
ensembl:lncRNA